ensembl:lncRNA
GCUCUGAAUAAAUAUUGUAUAACGCUUUUGCCCAAAGGGGCAGAUUUGGGGUUGCAGCCAUGCUGACCUGUACAUGCAUGGCUUUUGGUCAGCUUGGACGGUGGGUUAAUUGUGUGUGCUUCUGUCUGCAGGGAAAUGAACCGUUUCGAAGAAUCACAAGGCAACAAAUUCAACAGGAGGAACAGGAGAGAGGGGGCAUUGAGGAGUCGUUUCAAGAGGACCAGUAGCCGCUGCUUGCUGCAGGUGCAGAGCAAGAGAGGCGUUAGUGGUAAAUGGAGCCGAAGACAUCACGUGCUGAGGACUUUCUUGUCAGAAGCACAAGAAACGAGGCAGACCUUCAACUAGAGAGACGUUCAUGAGAGUCAACUAGGGGAUGGGCAGGGUGCUGUACUGUAGGCUGAACAGCAUUUUGGUGGCCACAGCAGCACAAGCAGUAGCUGUCCCCUCUGCUGGCUCUUGGCCUCCGUUGCAUGUCUCUCUCUUCCCCACAGUCCCACACUGGCACAGCUUUCUCUCCAGGUAGGCAAUGAAGCAGGCUGGAAUGUAGACAGUCUUGAUUAUUUUCUUCCAUGGGUUAUUUUUUAGCUGGAUCAAAUUCCUCCAACCUACCUGAGCACGUGGACAUGAGUGCAGCAGCAGGGGCACAAUUUAGAGCUAGGAUCAAACCUUGAGAAAGAACGACUGGAUGGGGCUCAGGUGACUGCCACCAAGUGCCAGAUCACCACUUCAGUCUAGAG